rnacentral:rRNA from 1 species
UCCCAGACUCCUACGGGAGGCAGCAGUGGGGAAUAUUGCACAAUGGGGGGAACCCUGAUGCAGCGACGCCGCGUGAAGGAAGAAGUAUCUCGGUAUGUAAACUUCUAUCAGCAGGGAAGAAAGAGGACGGUACCUGACUAAGAAGCCCCGGCUAACUACGUGCCAGCAGCCGCGGUAAUACGUAGGGGGCGAGCGUUAUCCGGAAUUACUGGGUGUAAAGGGAGCGUAGACGGCGAGGUAAGCCUGAAGUGGAAGCCCGCGGCCCAACCGCGGAACUGCUUUGGGAACUGUUUUGCUGGAGUAUGGGAGGGGUAAGCGGAAUUCCUGGUGUAGCGGUGAAAUGCGUAGAUAUCAGGAGGAACACCGGUGGCGAAGGCGGCGUACUGGACCAUAACUGACGUUGAGGCUCGAAAGCGUGGGGAGCGAACAGGAUUAGAUACCCCAGUAAGG